rnacentral:lncRNA from 1 species
GGGAUAAAUGACUCAGCUGAGCUCAAUGAAGCCAAAACAUGUGCGUCCAGGCUUAAUUGGUUGCACAAAGACCAAGCCAGGAUGAGCAGACACGGAUUCAUUAAGCCAGGUGAAACCAAUCCUGGAUAGGUGCGCGCUCACGGCUCACUCAAAUAGACCCCGCCACAGAUCACAGAUUAACUGAUUUACCAUGGCAACUAGAGCCGCGUACUUUUCCCCGUCGGAAGCACAAAUCCUCAUGGAGGCAUACGAGGAGGUAAAAUAUAUAAUUAAGAAGAAAGGCAACACCGCCACAGUGAUAAAGCAAAGAGAAAAAGCGUGGCAAAGUAUUGCAGACCGCCUGAAUGCAUUAAACAUGAACGGGCCAAAACGGACAUGGCAGCAGGUCAAAAUCAAAUACAAGAACAUUCUGCAGAAUGCAGUGAAAAAGAAUACCCACAGACAAGGCACGGGUGGUGGGUCACCAAAGGCUGACCUUACCCCAGCAGAGGACAUGGCCUUGGAGCUAAGUAAAGGCAGGCCCGUCUUAGAGGGGAUCCCUGGGGGAAAGAGACGAGCAUAGGUUCCUCCCAAGAUGCCACCCGCUUCAUUCAAGUGUCUGGCAGCACUGUGUUCCUGUUAGAGCCACCAGCACAAGCACCAGACGAUGCUGAUCCAGGUGAAGGCCCCAGUGCAGCAGCAACAGCACAUGAUGGAGACGAUGAUGAGGAGGAGACCAUCUCUCUGGAUUCCAGAAGGCAUGAGG